rnacentral:lncRNA from 1 species
GGUUAGCUUCUGGAACGGAACAUUUCUCGAAUCAGAUGGCUAUGAAAAGUCGAGUCCAGGAAGCCAUCCACGCAGUUGCCACUCUUACUUUUUCUUAGCCUACUGCCUGACUGGCUCAAGCGUUGGUGAAGCCACGGACGGACUUAUUUAUCAGGGCGGCCUUAGGCCACAUGACAUCCCAAAUUCGGGUAAUUGAUUGGUUGUCGGUCUGACCAAUCACCUUGCGACGCCAUUCGCCAUUUUAAGAUGGGGCAAGCUGCACGGCAGUGGAAUUGAGUGAAGCCCCUAAAGGCCUUCCUAGUUGAGGGCGGAAGUGUCGCUGCGAGGUUCCGUCAGCGACCGAAUAGUCCGGACUCGUGAGAGAGCGACGCUCAUCAUGCUUCGUCGGGAGGCUCGCCUACGCCGCGAGUACUUGUACCGUAAGGCCCGGGAGGAGGCGCAGCGAUCCGUUCAGGAGAAGAAGGAGCGAGUCAAGCGUGCUCUAGAAGAAAACCAGCUGAUUCCCACCGAGUUACGCCGGGAGGCUCUCGCAUUACAGGGGUCCUUGGAGUUUGAUGAUGCUGGUGGUGAAGGUAAACAGCUCUGCAGCUUUCUUCCACACUGAACCAACUUCUGUGCCCACUGGGCUCCAUGUCCUCCUUGGCCACACUGGGCCAUUUCCCACCUGAUAGAAGUGUCCAGGUGUAACCAGCCAUGUGGAUGACGAGUACCGAUGGGC